rnacentral:rRNA from 1 species
UGCAGGAUGACGGUCCUAUGGAUUGUAAACUGCUUUUGUACAGGAAGAAACACUCCUUCGUGAAGGAGCUUGACGGUACCGUAAGAAUAAGGAUCGGCUAACUCCGUGCCAGCAGCCGCGGUAAUACGGAGGAUCCAAGCGUUAUCCGGAAUCAUUGGGUUUAAAGGGUCCGUAGGCGGUCUUGUAAGUCAGUGGUGAAAGCCCAUCGCUCAACGGUGGAACGGCCAUUGAUACUGCAGGACUUGAAUUAUUGGGAAGUAACUAGAAUAUGUAGUGUAGCGGUGAAAUGCUUAGAGAUUACAUGGAAUACCAAUUGCGAAGGCAGGUUACUACCAAUUGAUUGACGCUGAUGGACGAAAGCGUGGGUAGCGAACAGGAUUAGAUACCCUGGUAGUCCACGCCGUAAACGA